UACGGAGGGGCUAGCGUUGUUCGGAAUUACUGGGCGUAAAGCGUACGUAGGCGGCUUUGUAAGUUAGAGGUGAAAGCCCGGGGCUCAACUCGGAAUUGCCUUUAAGACUGCAUCGCUUGAAUCAUGGAGAGGUGAGUGGAAUUCCGAGUGUAGAGGUGAAAUUCGUAGAUAUUCGGAAGAACACCAGUGGCGAAGGCGACUCACUGGACAUGUAAUUG
rnacentral:rRNA from 1 species